UCUUGGAUGACUGAGAAAAAGUAUUAGAUUUUUAAUCUAAAAACGGCAUAUGUCUAUGCCUCUAAGAG
rnacentral:tRNA from 1 species